UACGUAGGGUGCUAGCGUUGUUCGGAAUCAUUGGGCGUAAAGCGCGUGUAGGCGGUUUGGUAAGUCGAGUGUGAAAUCCCUGGGCUUAACCGAGGAAGUGCAUUCGAAACUACCUGGCUGGAAGACGGUAGAGGAAGGUGGAAUUCCUAGUGUAGAGGUGAAAUGCGUAGAUAUUAGGAGGAAUACCGGUGGCGAAGGCGGCCUUCUGGACCGAUCUUGACGCUGAGACGCGAAAGCGUGGGGAGCAAACAGG
rnacentral:rRNA from 1 species